rnacentral:misc_RNA from 1 species
UCUCCGUUGGUGAACCAGCGGAGGGAUCAUUACGAAAGGAGUACUCGUACUCUUAAACCCUAUGUGAACAUACCUCUAGUCAGUUGCUUCGGCGGGAGGCCCCUGGGAGGGGCCCCGGGGCCCGGCCUGAGCCGGGCUCCCGCCGGAGGAGCGCAACCAGAACUCUUGCUGUAACCCAGUGGCACGUCCGAGUAAACAAACAAAAACAAGUUAAAACUUUCAACAACGGAUCUCUUGGUUCUG